GGGGGAAUAUUGCACAAUGGAGGGAACUCUGAUGCAGCGACGCCGCGUGAGUGAUGAAGGAAUUCGUUUCGUAAAACUCUGUUCUAUGGGAAGAAAAGGACUGUACCAUAGGAGAAAGCUCCGGCUAAAUACGUGCCAGCAGCCGCGGUAAUACGUAUGGAGCGAGCGUUGUCCGGAAUUAUUGGGCGUAAAGGGUGCGCAGGCGGCUUUACAAGUUGGAUGUGAAAUAUUGUGGCUCAACCACAAACGUGCAUCCAAAACUGCAAAGCUUGAGUUAAGGAGAGGUAAGUGGAAUUCCUGGUGUAGCGGUGGAAUGCGUAGAUAUCAGGAGGAAUACCGGUGGCGAAGGCGACUUACUGGACUUAAACUGACGCUCAGGCACGAAAGCGUGGGGAGCAAACAGG
rnacentral:rRNA from 1 species